UAAGCCUGAAUUCCUCCAGGGAAUGCAUGAACUGAUUGAAAACUGUUUACCUUCAAUGCGAUGCAGUCGCUUUGGAUAAUGGGACCUGACAAAUGCAUAAAUGUAAAGAAUCACAUGGACAUAUUGCAGCUCGGGGAAAAUCUGCCCUGUGGAGAACAGUGACAGCCCAAGGACGUGUUCUGAAGGCCUUCAGACAAUUUGGAGAGAAAAAAUGUGCUAAAACCACUGUAAACUCCUCAAACCAGGGGCCCUGUCUCUGUUUUAAUCAGGGAUGGGAAGGUGGGUGAGAGGCCUGGAUGCUGGUAAGCUUUGAGCGAGCUUCUGGAUCCGGUCGUGGGCCUCUAUUGAUGAAGACUUUGAUCCAUUGUGCUCAGUUCCGUCUUUAGAGUGCAUGUGUUAGAGAUAUUAGUAGAACACCAUGCCAGUUAUAAUUAAAUUAACUGAACAGUAGCUGAGGGAAGUCUCAAAGGUAACAUUUCUUAAACUCACAUUACACAUGUUGCUAUUACAACAUGUUGUUUGCUCAUUGGAGUAGAAUUUUGCAAAUUGUGU
rnacentral:lncRNA from 1 species